rnacentral:rRNA from 1 species
ACUCCUGCGGGAGGCAGCAGUGGGGAAUAUUGGACAAUGGGCGCAAGCCUGAUCCAGCCAUGCCGCGUGAGUGAUGAAGGCCCUAGGGUUGUAAAGCUCUUUCACCGGUGAAGAUAAUGACGGUAACCGGAGAAGAAGCACCGGCUAACUUCGUGCCAGCAGCCGCGGUAAUACGAAGGGGGCUAGCGUUGUUCGGAUUUACUGGGCGUAAAGCGCACGUAGGCGGACUAUUAAGUCAGGGGUGAAAUCCCGGGGCUCAACCCCGGAACUGCCUUUGAUACUGGUAGUCUUGAGUUCGAGAGAGGUGAGUGGAAUUCCGAGUGUAGAGGUGAAAUUCGUAGAUAUUCGGAGGAACACCAGUGGCGAAGGCGGCUCACUGGCUCGAUACUGACGCUGAGGUGCGAAAGCGUGGGGAGCAAACAGGAUUAGAAACCCGUGUAGUCCCAUGAU